UACGAACGCUGGCGGCGUGCUUAACACAUGCAAGUCGAACGGAAAGGCCCUGCUUUUGUGGGGUGCUCGAGUGGCGAACGGGUGAGUAACACGUGAGUAACCUGCCCUUGACUUUGGGAUAACUUCAGGAAACUGGGGCUAAUACCGGAUAGGAGCUCCUGCUGCAUGGUGGGGGUUGGAAAGUUUCGGCGGUUGGGGAUGGACUCGCGGCUUAUCAGCUUGUUGGUGGGGUAGUGGCUUACCAAGGCUUUGACGGGUAGCCGGCCUGAGAGGGUGACCGGCCACAUUGGGACUGAGAUACGGCCCAGACUCCUACGGGAGGCAGCAGCGGGGAAUAUUGCACAAUGGGCGGAAGCCUGAUGCAGCAACGCCGCGUGCGGGAUGACGGCCUUCGGGUUGUAAACCGCUUUCGCCUGUGACGAAGCGUGAGUGACGGUAAUGGGUAAAGAAGCACCGGCUAACUACGUG
rnacentral:rRNA from 1 species